GGAUUAGAUACCCUGGUAGUCCACGCUGUAAACGAUGUCGACUUGGAGGUUGUGCCCUUGAGGUGUGGCUUCCGGAGCUAACGCGUUAAGUCGACCGCCUGGGGAGUACGGCCGCAAGGUUAAAACUCAAAUGAAUUGACGGGGGCCCGCACAAGCGGUGGAGCAUGUGGUUUAAUUCGAUGCAACGCGAAGAACCUUACCUGGUCUUGACAUCCACGGAAGUUUUCAGAGAUGAGAAUGUGCCUUCGGGAACCGUGAGACAGGUGCUGCAUGGCUGUCGUCAGCUCGUGUUGUGAAAUGUUGGGUUAAGUCCCGCAACGAGCGCAACCCUUAUCCUUUGUUGCCAGCGGUCCGGCCGGGAACUCAAAGGAGACUGCCAGUGAUAAACUGGAGGAAGGUGGGGAUGACGUCAAGUCAUCAUGGCCCUUACGACCAGGGCUACACACGUGCUACAAUGGCGCAUACAAAGAGAAGCGACCUCGCGAGAGCAAGCGGACCUCAUAAAGUGCGUCGUAGUCCGGAUUGGAGUCUGCAACUCGACUCCAUGAAGUCGGAAUCGCUAGUAAUCGUGGAUCAGAAUGCCACGGUGAAUACGUUCCCGGGCCUUGUACACACCGCCCGUCACACCAUGGGAGUGGGUUGCAAAAGAAGUAGGUAGCUUAACCUUCGGGAGGGCGCUUACCACUUUGUGAUUCAUGACUGGGGUGAAGUCGUAACAAGGUAACCGUAGGGGAACCUGCGGUUGGAUCAC
rnacentral:rRNA from 2 species